rnacentral:rRNA from 1 species
UACGUAGGGUGCGAGCGUUAAUCGGAAUUACUGGGCGUAAAGCGUGCGCAGGCGGUUUUGUAAGUCUGUCGUGAAAGCCCCGGGCUCAACCUGGGAAUGGCCGUUGAAACUGGCGAACUGGAGUGUGGCAGAGGGGGGUGGAAUUCCGCGUGUAGCAGUGAAAUGCGUAGAGAUGCGGAGGAACACCGAUGGCGAAGGCAGCCCCCUGGGCUGACACUGACGCUCAGGCACGAAAGCGUGGGGAGCAAACAGG